rnacentral:rRNA from 1 species
AACGAACGCUGGCGGCAUGCCUAACACAUGCAAGUCGAACGAGACCUUCGGGUCUAGUGGCGCACGGGUGCGUAACGCGUGGGAACCUGCCCUUAGGUUCGGAAUAACUCCCCGAAAGGGGUGCUAAUACCGGAUAAUGUCUUCGGACCAAAGAUUUAUCGCCUUUGGAUGGGCCCGCGUUGGAUUAGCUAGUUGGUAGGGUAAAAGCCUACCAAGGCGACGAUCCAUAGCUGGUCUGAGAGGAUGAUCAGCCACACUGGGACUGAGACACGGCCCAGACUCCUACGGGAGGCAGCAGUGGGGAAUAUUGGACAAUGGGCGAAAGCCUGAUCCAGCAAGGCCGCGUGAGUGAUGAAGGCCUUAGGGUUGUAAAGCACUUUUACCCGGGAUGAUAAUGACAGUACCGGGAGAAUAAGCUCCGGCUAACUCCGUG